CUGAAAGCAGUAAGAGAUCUGGAUUCGAUCCUUUUCACGUUUGAAGAUGUCUAUACAUUCUUCCUGAAAUCCAAGCACAGUGUGCUGCUGAACUUGAUUGGUUUGCACUACUGCCUUAUCUGGCUUGGUCUGCCGGGAGAAUGUGUCAUGGAAAUCCUAAAUAAGAGCAAUAUCUCACAAAGGGAAGUACGUGUUCAAUGGUGGAAGCUUGGGAGG
rnacentral:misc_RNA from 1 species